UACGGGGGGGGCAAGCGUUGUUCGGAAUUACUGGGCGUAAAGGGCUCGUAGGUGGCCAACUAAGUCAGACGUGAAAUCCCUCGGCUUAACCGGGGAACUGCGUCUGAUACUGGAUGGCUUGAGUUCGGGAGAGGGAUGUGGAAUUCCAGGUGUAGCGGUGAAAUGCGUAGAUAUCUGGAGGAAUACCGGUGGCGAAGGCGGCAUCCUGGACCGAGAUUGACACUGAUGAGCGAAAGCCAGGGGAGCAAACGGG
rnacentral:rRNA from 1 species